rnacentral:rRNA from 1 species
AUGGCAUUCGCGGGCCUGGAGCUGCGGUACCCCAGGGCGCUCGACCCCCACCCGAAUUGGACGCUCGGCGACGCCCUCACCGACGCCACCCGCCGCUCCGCGCCGCCCACGCCCCUCAAGCAGCCGCCGGAGUGGGCUAGCGGUGGCGACAUGAGGGAGAAGGCCUUUGUGAUGCGGGUCGAGGAGGAAGACGGCUCGGAAGAGGAAGACGACAACACCGAUGAGGAUGCCCAUGCUCUUGUGACCACCGGGGCGAGGUUCCCAUGCAAUGAUCUCGAAUGCAGUGGAUUUGAAGAUUCUGGAGAUGAAGUAGAUUGCAGCAGUGCACCAUAUCACCUGAUGGAGAAAAGGAGCCUAGAGAAGAGCAUUCUGCUUGUGCUGGAACUUGAGCAUCAUCUGAAAAUUGAAGAGGAAGUAAGAAGUAAGCUAUCUUCAUUGGAGCUAUGCCAUCAAAAUGAAAUCCAGAGAACAAUUUCUGCAUUUGCCCGACUUCAGAAAUAUGCAGAAUCACGAAAAGAGAUAGAUAGAAGGCUGGAUGUCCAGUUCCAGAGAAAAAUUGCAGAAGUACUCGAUAAACACUUGUCUAUGGUACAAAGGGAUCAUGGACAGAAAUCCCAGAUUGUGGAACGUAGAAUAAGAGAUGAUGCAGCUGUUGAAGAAGCUAAAAGGGAGCAAUCUAUGAAGGAAGAAAAAGUAAAUCAGGAAAGGACUAGAAAAGAAGCAGAGGCCCGGCAGAAGGCAGCUGGAAAAUUAGCAGCUGAAGCACAGAAAGCAGCAUACGAGGGAGCUGCUAUAUUGAGGGUAGAGACAGUUUCUACAUCUAGCCAAAUUUCUCAGAACAGUGUUUCUCAUGCAACAAUGGUGAACAACAUUGGAGUCAAAUCAGAAUUACCAGGAAUCAAAGUUUUUGCUGAUAGUAUCGCAUUAGAAGCGGAAUUGCGGAGGCGCGCAUUACAUGACCAAGUGUCUUCAAAUAUUUACCUAAGCAAGGAGUAUAGCCAAUAUGGCCGACAAAUUGGAAAGUCUAUUGGUAAACUUACGCCAACUACUGACAGUGUCAAAGCCAGGGCUAGUGAGCUUAUUGAAGCUUUAGAUGGACAAGAUUGUCCUCAUCCAAUUGCUUGUCGUUUAUUUGCAGACAAGAUGAUUUCAAUAGUCAAGAGUCGAAAUACAAAGGACAAAACCUUUGGACCGUUAGCUUUGCUUGUGGCUAUGUAA